rnacentral:rRNA from 1 species
UACGUAGGGUCCGAGCGUUAAUCGGAAUUACUGGGCGUAAAGCGUGCGUAGGUGGUUCGUUAAGUCUGAUGUGAAAGCCCUGGGCUCAACCUGGGAAUGGCAUUGGAUACUGGCGAUCUAGAGUGCGGUAGAGGGCAGUGGAAUUCCCGGUGUAGCAGUGAAAUGCGUAGAGAUCGGGAGGAACAUCUGUGGCGAAGGCGACUGCCGGGACCAGCACUGACACUGAGGCACGAAAGCGUGGGGAGCAAACAGG